UACGAAGGGGGCUAGCGUUGCUCGGAAUUACUGGGCGUAAAGCGCACGUAGGCGGUCUUUUAAGUCGGGGGUGAAAUCCUGGAGCUCAACUCCAGAACUGCCUUCGAUACUGGAAGACUUGAGUCCGGGAGAGGUGAGUGGAACUGCGAGUGUAGAGGUGAAAUUCGUAGAUAUUCGGAAGAACACCAGUGGCGAAGGCGGCUCACUGGCCCGGUACUGACGCUGAGGUGCGAAAGCGUGGGGAGCAAACAGG
rnacentral:rRNA from 1 species